rnacentral:rRNA from 1 species
ACGCGAAGAACCUUACCUGGGCUUGACAUGUUCCCGACAGCCCCAGAGAUGGGGCCUCCCUUCGGGGCGGGUUCACUGGUGGUGCAUGGUCGUCGUCAGCUCGUGUCGUGAGAUGUUGGGUUAAGUCCCGCAACGAGCGCAACCCUCGCCCUGUGUUGCCAGCACGUCAUGGUGGGAACUCACGGGGGACCGCCGGGGUCAACUCGGAGGAAGGUGGGGAUGACGUCAGAUCAUCAUGCCCCUUAUGUCCAGGGCUUCACGCAUGCUACAAUGGCCGGUACAACGGGAUGCGACAUGGCGACAUGGAGCGGAUCCCUUAAAACCGGUCUCAGUUCGGAUUGGAGUCUGCAACCCGACUCCAUGAAGGCGGAGUCGCUAGUAAUCGCGGAUCAGCAACGCCGCGGUGAAUGCGUUCCCGGGCCUUGUACACACCGCCCGU